GGCUCUGUGGUGCAAUGGCAAGCGCGUUGGACUUGUCAUUCAAAGGUUGUGGGUUCGAAUCCCAUCAGAGUCG